CACAUUCUUUAUAGAACAUUUGCCAUGGGUGAGCUGAUUAAAUCACAUCUCCAGUGGUUUUAAUGCAAUUAGCAGGGCCUGGCAAACAACUGAAGCAAUGACAUAACCAGUCUGACUGUUUAAAUAUUCAAAGUCAGAGUUAGGGAGGACCCCUGAGGAUGGAGAAAUUGUGUGCUCCACUUAAACAUAUGCCCCAUACUAAAUUGAAUCUAACAGAAACUGAAGGGAAGUAGUUUAAAAACCUGAGAGAGCAGAUUUCAACAUCAUGAGAUCUUGUAAGAAAGAAAGAGGACCCAUCCUAUGUGAAG
rnacentral:lncRNA from 1 species